rnacentral:lncRNA from 1 species
GGUCAUCACUCAAAAAGAAAAUUAUAACCAGUCCUGCCUGCAACGAAGCACGGACGACAACAAACAGGUCCGGGCCGAGUUGCCAUUGCCAUGCUAUGCCUACGGUGAGCCCGGAAAUGACAGAAAGGACAUGAAUGACGACGCAGGGACGCAAAAGACCUCAACUUCAAACUGAAAAGGUGGAUGAUACCUGCAAUGGAGAAGCGCCUGUGGGUGCCGUUGGACCCAAGCACAGCCGACGACGACACAAGUUAUCCUCACGAUCCAACAACAGUAGCUAAUCUUAAGGAAGAGCGAGAGAGAGAGAGACACACAAGUUAUCCUCAAGAUCCAACAUUAGCUAAUGUUGUCAGAGAGAAAGAAAGAAGGAAAGGUAUCCUCAAGAUCAAACAGUAGCUGGUGUUGUCAGAGAGAGAAAGAAAGAAAGAAAGAAGAGAGAGGAAUCUCACAGUUGUCGGAGGGGCAGCCAACGCCCGUG